ACGCGAAGAACCUUACCCAGACUUGACAUACAGUGGAAGUGAUUAGAAAUAGUCACGCCCUUCGGGGCCGCUGAACAGGUGCUGCAUGGCUGUCGUCAGCUCGUGCCGUGAGGUGUUGGGUUAAGUCCCGCAACGAGCGCAACCCUUAUCGUUAGUUGCCAACAGGUAAUGCUGGGAACUCUAGCGAGACUGCCUGGGUUAACCAGGAGGAAGGUGAGGAUGACGUCAAGUCCGCAUGGCCCUUAUGUCUGGGGCUACACACGUGCUACAAUGGCCGGUACAGAAGGCAGCGAAACCGCGAGGUGAAGCAAAUCCCAAAAGCCGGCCUCAGUUCAGAUUGUAGUCUGCAACUCGACUACAUGAAGACGGAAUUGCUAGUAAUGGCAGGUCAGCAACACUGCCGUGAAUACGUUCCCGGGUCUGUACACACCG
rnacentral:rRNA from 1 species